rnacentral:rRNA from 1 species
GGGCGGGGGCACGGGGGGACUCCUACGGGAGGCAGCAGUCGGGAAUUUUGGGCAAUGGGCGGAAGCCUGACCCAGCAACGCCGCGUGAAGGAUGAAGUCUUUCGGGAUGUAAACUUCAUAAGAAUAGGAAGAAUAAAUGACGGUACUAUUUGUAAGGUCCGGCUAACUACGUGCCAGCAGCCGCGGUAAUACGUAGGGACCAAGCGUUGUUCGGAUUUACUGGGCGUAAAGGGCGCGUAGGCGGCUUGACAAGUCACUUGUGAAAUCUCCGAGCUUAACUCGGAACGGUCAAGUGAUACUGUUGUGCUAGAGUGCAGAAGGGGCAAUCGGAAUUCUUGGUGUAGCGGUGAAAUGCGUAGAUAUCAAGAGGAACACCUGAGGUGAAGACGGGUUGCUGGGCUGACACUGACGCUGAGGCGCGAAAGCUAGGGUAGCAAACGGGAUUAGAUACCCCGGUAGUCCUAGCCCUAAACGAUGAAUACUUGGUGUCCGGAAUAUUAUUUUUCUGGGUGCCGUCGCUAACGUUUUAAGUAUUCCGCCUGGGGAGUACGCACGCAAGUGUGAAACUCAAAGGAAUUGACGG